rnacentral:rRNA from 1 species
GAUAAACGCUGGCGGCGCACAUAAGACAUGCAAGUCGAACGAACUUAACCAUUAGUUUACUAUUGGAGCGGUUAGUGGCGGACUGGUGAGUAACACGUAAGCAACCUGCCUAUCAGAGGGGAACAACAGUUAGAAAUGACUGCUAAUACCGCAUAUGCCUUGAGUAUUGCAUGAUACAAAAGGGAAAGGAGAAAUCCGCUGAUAGAUGGGCUUGCGUCUGAUUAGCUAGUUGGUGGGGUAAAGGCCUACCAAGGCGACGAUCAGUAGCCGGACUGAGAGGUUGAACGGCCACAUUGGGACUGAGAUACGGCCCAG